CAUGAACGCUAGCUACAGGCUUAACACAUGCAAGUCGAGGGGCAGCAUGUCGGUUGCUUGCAACCGACUAUGGCGACCGGCGCACGGGUGAGUAACGCGUAUCCAACCUACCCUUGUCCAUCGGAUAACCCGUCGAAAGGCGGACUAACACGAUAUGGGGUUCUCAGCAGGCAUCUAACGAGAACGAAAUGUGAAGGGGAAGGAUGGGGAUUCGUCUGAUUAGCUUGUUGGCAGGGUAACGGCCCACCAAGGCGACGAUCAGUAGGGGGUCUGAGAGGAAGGUCCCCCACAUUGGAACAGAGACACGGUCCAAACACCUACGGGAGGAAGCAGUGAGGAAUAUUGGUCAAUGGACGAGAGUCUGAACCAGCCAAGUAGCGUGCAGGAAGACGGCCCUAUGGGUUGUAAACUGCUUUUAUAGGGGGAUAAAGUGUGCCACGUGUGGCAUAUUGCAGGUACCCUAUGAAUAAGGACCGGCUAAUUCCGUGCCAGCAGCCGCCGUAAGAC
rnacentral:rRNA from 1 species